GCUAAACACAUGCAAGUCGAACGGUAGCACAGAGAGCUUGCUCUCGGGUGACGAGUGGCGGACGGGUGAGUAAUGUCUGGGAAACUGCCUGAUGGAGGGGGAUAACUACUGGAAACGGUAGCUAAUACCGCAUAACGUCGCAAGACCAAAGAGGGGGACCUUCGGGCCUCUUGCCAUCAGAUGUGCCCAGAUGGGAUUAGCUAGUAGGUGGGGUAACGGCUCACCUAGGCGACGAUCCCUAGCUGGUCUGAGAGGAUGACCAGCCACACUGGAACUGAGACACGGUCCAGACUCCUACGGGAGGCAGCAGUGGGGAAUAUUGCACAAUGGGCGCAAGCCUGAUGCAGCCAUGCCGCGUGUAUGAAGAAGGCCUUCGGGUUGUAAAGUACUUUCAGCGGGGAGGAAGGUGUUGUGGUUAAUAACCACAGCAAUUGACGUUACCCGCAGAAGAAGCACCGGCUAACUCCGUGCCAGCAGCCGCGGUAAUACGGAGGGUGCAAGCGUUAAUCGGAAUUACUGGGCGUAGAGCGCACGCAGGCGGUCUGUCAAGUCGGAUGUGAAAUCCCCGGGCUCAACCUGGGAACUGCAUUCGAAACUGGCAGGCUAGAGUCUUGUAGAGGGGGGUAGAAUUCCAGGUGUAGCGGUGAAAUGCGUACAGAUCUGGAGGAAUACCGGUGGCGAACGCGGCCCCCUGGACAAAGACUGACUCUCAGGUGCGAAAGCGUGUGGAGCAAACAGGAUUACAUACCCUGGUAGUCCACGCCGUAAACGAUGUCAACUUGGAGGUUGUGCCCUUGAUGCGUGGCUUCCGGAGCUAACGCGUUAAGUCGACCGCCUGGGGAGUACCGCCGCAGAGUUAAGACUCAUAUGAAUUGACGUGAGCCCGCACAAGCGGUGGAGCAUGUGGUUUAAUUCCAUACAACGCGAAGAACCUUACCUACUCUUGACAUCCCAAAGAACUUUACUGAGAUGGAUUUGCUGCCUUCGGAACUCUGAAAGAGGUGCUUCAUGGCUGUCAUCACCUCCUGUCGUGAAAAGUUAGUUACAUCCCCCAAGCAUGCCAACCCUAAUCCCUUUGUUGCCACCAGUGCUUGCCGGCAAUUGUAGAGAGACCCCCAUUGAUACUUCGAAAAGAGGUGGGAUGAAGUC
rnacentral:rRNA from 1 species